rnacentral:siRNA from 1 species
UGGUGUAAUUCGGAUAACUUCU